rnacentral:rRNA from 1 species
AUUGAACGCUGGCGGCAUGCCUUACACAUGCAAGUCGAACGGUAACAGGUUAAGCUGACGCGUGGCGAACGGGUGAGUAAUGUAUCGGAACGUGCCCAGUCGUGGGGGAUAACUGCUCGAAAGAGCAGCUAAUACCGCAUACGACCUGAGGGUGAAAGCGGGGGAUCGCAAGACCUCGCGCGAUUGGAGCGGCCGAUAUCAGAUUAGGUAGUUGGUGAGGUAAAGGCUCACCAAGCCGACGAUCUGUAGCUGGUCUGAGAGGACGACCAGCCACACUGGGGCUUGAGCCCCGCCCCAGCCCCUGAGGGAGGGCACAGGUGGGGAAUUUGGGCAAAGGGGGGAAACCUGAUCCAGCCAUGCCGCGUGCGGGAAGAAGGCCUUCGGGUUGUAAACCGCUUUUGUCAGGGAAGAAAAGGUUCUGGCUAAUACCUGGGACUCAUGACGGUACCUGAAGAAUAAGCACCGGCUAACUACGUG